GUGUAAUUAUAUGCAUCUAUGAUUUUUAUGCGUCAUCCAUCAUCAUGAAAUGUUGUCUUCUAUGGUUGUCUUGAAACUGAAAGAGAAGCUUAUCACAUGGCCAAUUUUUACUUGCUUCUCUGCACGUGUUGUUAUUCUAUUUCAUGAUUUAUUUAUUUAUGUGUUACUGCAGUUAAUUUUUAUUUACUCCAUUUCUACAGAUUGAAGAUAGAUAAGAGAGGAAAUCGAUGUACGAUGUUCAUUGUGAUGCCACUGGAAAAACAAGUCAUGCUUUUCCAGCUGUUACCUUUUCAUCUUGGAGGAUCUUAUGGUUGGUUAAGGAACAUAAUAUAAACUGUGGAUGUCAUUAAAUCACAGAUCAUCGGUCGUAUCAGUCCUUGUUCGUUUUAGAAAGUAGCUUUUCCUAUGGUCCUAAGUGAGAAUGAAGACACUGUAUUGUUGCUAAAGAAAUGAUUUAUGGUGAUGAAUGAACUUCUAAGUAACAGUUUCAAUUAAAAACAGUAAAUGAGGUUGCAGAAACUUACUUUCAGUAAACAACUUUGUGGAAAUGCCAGAAGUAGAAGUAAUUUACUUGCUUUUUGGUGUUUAUAGAUUGCCCAACAAAUGACAGAGUUCAGUUUGGUAAUUCUAAAACAACCAAUUCCUACAUGUGAUGUUGUGCUGUUUUCAUAUUUGCCUUGUAACAUUUUUCAACUGACAAGUGAGAACAACUGGAGAUUUAUUCAAGUUCCACUGAAACAACAAAUUUUCUACUAUGAUAUUCCUCCUGGGUUUGGUUUGCUUUUCACACAUGCAAACUUUGGAAUGUUACAGCCUACAGUUAAUUAAGAUCGACGUUGGAGAAGACAAAGAUG